AAGAGAAAGUCAAAGCAGAAUUAAACAAGCUGACAAGGAUUAUAACUGUAAUUGAGCUCACCUGACUGAAAGUGAACUUAGAGCAAGAAGUAUGUUUGCAUGCAGCAGAUACAUGUCAUUGUUUAAAGAAGGCAGGUUGAUCAGAUCCUGAUGGUGGAAAUAGAUUCUGCCAGCAUGGGGGAAGAAAACAGCAGGCAGUGAUUGUUUAAGUGACAGGAAACAACUCACAGAGGUAAUAUGACUCAUUGACCUGCACUCUACUCAUUAAAAUCUCUUUAUU